UUAAGCGACUAAGCGUACACGGUGGAUGCCCUGGCAGUCAGAGGCGAUGAAGGACGUGCUAAUCUGCGAAAAGCGUCGGUAAGGUGAUAUGAACCGUUAUAACCGGCGAUGUCCGAAUGGGGAAACCCAGUGUGAUUCGUCACACUAUCGUUAACUGAAUACAUAGGUUAACGAGGCGAACCGGGGGAACUGAAACAUCUAAGUACCCCGAGGAAAAGAAAUCAACCGAGAUUCCCCCAGUAGCGGCGAGCGAACGGGGAGCAGCCCAGAGUCUGAAUCAGCUUGUGUGUUAGUGGAACGGUCUGGAAAGUCCGACGGUACAGGGUGAUAGUCCCGUACACCAAAAUGCACAGGUUGUGAACUCGAAGAGUAGGGCGGGACACGUGGUAUCCUGUCUGAAUAUGGGGGGACCAUCCUCCAAGGCUAAAUACUCCUGACUGACCGAUAGUGAACCAGUACCGUGAGGGAAAGGCGAAAAGAACCCCGGCGAGGGGAGUGAAAAAGAACCUGAAACCGUGUACGUACAAGCAGUGGGAGCACCUUCGGGUGUGACUGCGUACCUUUUGUAUAAUGGGUCAGCGACUUAUAUUCUGUAGCAAGGUUAACCGUAUAGGGGAGCCGCAGGGAAACCGAGUCUUAACUGGGCGUUAAGUUGCAGGGUAUAGACCCGAAACCCGGUGAUCUAGCCAUGGGCAGGUUGAAGGUUGGGUAACACUAACUGGAGGACCGAACCGACUAAUGUUGAAAAAUUAGCGGAUGACUUGUGGCUGGGGGUGAAAGGCCAAUCAAACCGGGAGAUAGCUGGUUCUCCCCGAAAGCUAUUUAGGUAGCGCCUCGUGAAUUCAUCUUCGGGGGUAGAGCACUGUUUCGGCUAGGGGGUCAUCCCGACUUACCAACCCGAUGCAAACUACGAAUACCGAAGAAUGUUAUCACGGGAGACACACGGCGGGUGCUAACGUCCGUCGUGAAGAGGGAAACAACCCAGACCGCCAGCUAAGGUCCCAAAGUCAUGGUUAAGUGGGAAACGAUGUGGGAAGGCACAGACAGCCAGGAUGUUGGCUUAGAAGCAGCCAUCAUUUAAAGAAAGCGUAAUAGCUCACUGGUCGAGUCGGCCUGCGCGGAAGAUGUAACGGGGCUAAACCAUGCACCGAAGCUGCGGCAGCGACACUAUGUGUUGUUGGGUAGGGGAGCGUUCUGUAAGCCUGCGAAGGUGACCUGUGAGGGUUGCUGGAGGUAUCAGAAGUGCGAAUGCUGACAUAAGUAACGAUAAAGCGGGUGAAAAGCCCGCUCGCCGGAAGACCAAGGGUUCCUGUCCAACGUUAAUCGGGGCAGGGUGAGUCGACCCCUAAGGCGAGGCCGAAAGGCGUAGUCGAUGGGAAACAGGUUAAUAUUCCUGUACUUGGUGUUACUGCGAAGGGGGGACGGAGAAGGCUAUGUUAGCCGGGCGACGGUUGUCCCGGUUUAAGCAUGUAGGCUGGUUAUCCAGGCAAAUCCGGAUAAUCAAGGCUGAGGUGUGAUGACGAGGUACUACGGUGCUGAAGUAACAAAUGCCCUGCUUCCAGGAAAAGCCUCUAAGCAUCAGGUAACAUCAAAUCGUACCCCAAACCGACACAGGUGGUCAGGUAGAGAAUACCAAGGCGCUUGAGAGAACUCGGGUGAAGGAACUAGGCAAAAUGGUGCCGUAACUUCGGGAGAAGGCACGCUGGUGUGUAGGUGAAGCCCCUGCGGGUGGAGCUGAGACCAGUCGAAGAUACCAGCUGGCUGCAACUGUUUAUUAAAAACACAGCACUGUGCAAACACGAAAGUGGACGUAUACGGUGUGACGCCUGCCCGGUGCCGGAAGGUUAAUUGAUGGGGUUAUCCGUAAGGAGAAGCUCUUGAUCGAAGCCCCGGUAAACGGCGGCCGUAACUAUAACGGUCCUAAGGUAGCGAAAUUCCUUGUCGGGUAAGUUCCGACCUGCACGAAUGGCGUAAUGAUGGCCAGGCUGUCUCCACCCGAGACUCAGUGAAAUUGAACUCGCUGUGAAGAUGCAGUGUACCCGCGGCAAGACGGAAAGACCCCGUGAACCUUUACUAUAGCUUGACACUGAACAUUGAGCCUUGAUGUGUAGGAUAGGUGGGAGGCUUUGAAGCGUGGACGCCAGUCUGCGUGGAGCCAACCUUGAAAUACCACCCUUUAAUGUUUGAUGUUCUAACGUUGGCCCCUGACCGGGGUUGCGGACAGUGUCUGGUGGGUAGUUUGACUGGGGCGGUCUCCUCCCAAAGCGUAACGGAGGAGCACGAAGGUUAGCUAAUCCUGGUCGGACAUCAGGAGGUUAGUGCAAUGGCAUAAGCUAGCUUGACUGCGAGCGUGACGGCGCGAGCAGGUGCGAAAGCAGGUCAUAGUGAUCCGGUGGUUCUGAAUGGAAGGGCCAUCGCUCAACGGAUAAAAGGUACUCCGGGGAUAACAGGCUGAUACCGCCCAAGAGUUCAUAUCGACGGCGGUGUUUGGCACCUCGAUGUCGGCUCAUCACAUCCUGGGGCUGAAGUAGGUCCCAAGGGUAUGGCUGUUCGCCAUUUAAAGUGGUACGCGAGCUGGGUUUAGAACGUCGUGAGACAGUUCGGUCCCUAUCUGCCGUGGGCGCUGGAGAAUUGAGGGGGGCUGCUCCUAGUACGAGAGGACCGGAGUGGACGCAUCACUGGUGUUCGGGUUGUCAUGCCAAUGGCACUGCCCGGUAGCUAAAUGCGGAAGAGAUAAGUGCUGAAAGCAUCUAAGCACGAAACUUGCCCCGAGAUGAGUUCUCCCUGAGACUUUAAGUCUCCUGAAGGAACGUUAAAGACGAUGACGUUGAUAGGCCGGGUGUGUAAGCGCAGCGAUGCGUUGAGCUAACCGGUACUAAUGAACCGUGAGGCUUAACCUU
rnacentral:rRNA from 1 species